AUUGAACGCUGGCGGCAGGCUUAACACAUGCAAGUCGAGCGGGGUGAUGGUGCUUGCACUAUCACUUAGCGGCGGACGGGUGAGUAAUGCUUAGGAAUCUGCCUAUUAGUGGGGGACAACAUCUCGAAAGGGAUGCUAAUACCGCAUACGUCCUACGGUAGAAAGCAGGGGAUCACUUGUGACCUUGCGCUAAUAGAUGAGCCUAAGGCGGAUUAGCUAGUUGGUGGGGUAAAGGCCUACCACGGCGACGAUCUGUAGCGGGUCUGAGAGGAUGAUCCCCCCCCAUGGGACGGAGACACGGCCCAGACUCCGACGGGAGGUAGCAGUGGGGAAUAUUGGACAAUGGGGGGAACCCUGAUCCAGCCAUGCCGCGUGUGUGAAGAAGGCCUUAUGGUUGUAAAGCACUUUAAGCGAGGAGGAGGCUCUUUUGGUUAAUACCCAAGAUGAGUGGACGUUACUCGCAGAAUAAGCACCGGCUAACUCUGUGCCAGCCGCCGCGGUAA
rnacentral:rRNA from 1 species